UACGUAGGGUGCAAGCGUUGUCCGGAAUUAUUGGGCGUAAAGAGCUCGUAGGCGGUUUGUUGCGUCGGCUGUGAAAUCCCGAGGCUCAACCUCGGGUCUGCAGUCGAUACGAGCAAACUAGAGUGUUGCAGGGGAGACUGGAAUUCCUGGUGUAGCGGUGAAAUGCGCAGAUAUCAGGAGGAACACCGAUGGCGAAGGCAGGUCUCUGGGCCAUAACUGACGCUGAGAAGCGAAAGCAUGGGGAGCGAACAGG
rnacentral:rRNA from 1 species